UACCAGCACCCCGAGUGGUCGGGACGUUUAUUGGGCGUAAAGAGCUCGUAGGCGGUUUGUUGCGUCGGCUGUGAAAUCCCGAGGCUCAACCUCGGGUCUGCAGUCGAUACGAGCAAACUAGAGUGUUGCAGGGGAGACUGGAAUUCCUGGUGUAGCGGUGAAAUGCGCAGAUAUCAGGAGGAACACCGGUGGCGAAGGCGGGUCUCUGGGCAACAACUGACGCUGAGGAGCGAAAGCGUGGGGAGCGAACAGG
rnacentral:rRNA from 1 species